rnacentral:lncRNA from 10 species
UUAGUAACCAGGCAUCCAGGGAAAGCACACGGAGGCUCCUUCACAAGAACUCCUCUGCAGAGAAGGCAGGAAGGAGGAGGAGGAAGGGGAAGUAUGUGCGCCACCGGACUCUGGCCCUCCUCUCUCAUGCUUCCAGGCCAGCAAUGAUGAAUCUGACGCCAUGUGAACGAGAUUUGCAGGAUUUCCAGGCCCAGAAUCCAGCUGAAGCUCAUGAGCUGUGCCUGACUAUAGGGGGUAAAUUUGAGGGCAAGAGAAUAGCCUAGAGAAAACAGCUUGGGACCUACAGAGCCUUCAGGUACAGGAUAUUCUGCAAUGUUUGGAUUCAGUAAUGAUCACAGAAAUCUCAGCCACAGAGAAGAUACCAUGUGGGCUAGAAGCCUAAAUCCCUACCAGCAACUCAUCUCUAAUGACCAAUUUCUCCUUGCCGCCCCAGGUGUGACAUUUACUGACCUAAAGAAGCAACUUAGAGCAACAAGCCAGCAACUGAUAGGUUGAAACUAUCCCCUGCCAGGUCUCAGUUCUGGUCCUCAUGCUCUCCUUCAAGAUCAACCCACUUAAGUUUAUCACCAGUGCUUAAAACAUUGUCUGACACAUAGUAAAUGCUCAGUAUAUGUUUGUUGUCAGAUGCAUAGACGGAUGGACCAGCAAGUUAAUGAAUAAAGGAAUUAGCAAA